ensembl:lncRNA ARLNC1 androgen receptor regulated long noncoding RNA 1
UCCCAGUUAUCCAUGAGAACAGGGUGAGAUUCCAGUGUUUCCUCCAGAAAGGCACAUUAUUCCUCCACCAUGGUCUUCUUUUUCCUGUGUACCUUGACCCUGUAGGAGAUGAGACUUCUAAAGUGAUUCCUUUCCCUCUUUUCUCCUCAUCACCCCUUCCCACUCUCUAAGGUGCUGGUUCCAUGGCUCUUCCUGAGCCGAAAAUAAGGAAACUCCAUAGACCUUGUCCACUGGAACUCGUUCCCAUCUACCCUCCACUCUAUCCAGGGUGAUGGAUCUCUGCAGUAAGUGGAAGAGUUCUUCAUGGCCCCCAAGGUUAUAUCCAUCUAGAACUUCAGCACGUAAUUUCAUCUGGAAAUAGUGCCUUUGCGGAUAUAAGUUAGGUAAAACUGAAGAUGAGAUCAUACUGGAUUAGGAUGGGAUCUAAAUCCAAUGAAAAUGUCUUCAUAAAAAACAGGAAAGAACCCAUAGAAACACAAGGAAGAAGGUCAUGUGAAGAUGGAGGCAGAGAUUGGAGGGAUGCAGCCACCGGCCCAGGAAUGCCAGCAGCCACCCAGAAGCUGGAAGGAAAUGAGGGAUUCUCUCCUAGAACCUUUAGAGAGAACAUGGUCCUGUGAACAGCUUGAUUUUGGACUUGCCCAUAGCUUGUAUACUCUUACUUUGGAUACAAUUUUAUCCAAACUUGGCUAAACAGUUUCUCAGCCUAUGGAAAAUUUAAAAUGGAGAAGAUUCAACUCGAUUCUUACAGAUUCAAAGCAAGAAAAUGAUGGGAACAUAGGAGGAGACCAAGAAAGCCUAUAAAAAGCAAAAAUAUGAAGUGAACAUUGUGGUAGCUUUAAGAUGUUUAGUGUAGCUGCAGGCACCCUAUACACAUGAAAACCCCCAAGGGGAAUCCCCAUAUCACAGUGUAGUGUGAUAUUUGACAUUCGUGAUCAUCUAGAGAUGUACAGAAAAGGUGAAUCUGUGUUCUGUAUAUUCUGCCUAAGGCAAAGAAAUGUUUAGCUCUCUUUAAAAUAGUUCCAUAAUUUUUUCUAAAAAGCUUUGCUUGAAAACUGUAAGCUUCCCAUAUCUGGAGCAUUUCACUUUAAAUAUUUGGAUAAAUAUGUUAUCUUCUUACUUGGACAUUUCAUGUGUUUAGGGAUUGUCUUCUAAAUUCUUCCUAAUUCAUAUAGCUGCUAACACUUCCCGCAGAGCUAAACCAUUACAGAUAUGAAAUAAAGACCUAUUGAUUUGACUUA